UACGUAGGGUGCGAGCGUUGUCCGGAAUUACUGGGCGUAAAGAGCUCGUAGGUGGUUUGUCGCGUUGUUCGUGAAAACUCACAACUCAAUUGUGGGCGUGCGGGCGAUACGGGCAGACUGGAGUACUGCAGGGGAGACUGGAAUUCCUGGUGUAGCGGUGGAAUGCGUAGAUAUCUGGAGGAACACCGGUGGCGAAGGCGGCAUCCUGGACCAUUACUGACACUGAAUAGCGAAAGCCAGGGGAGCAAACGGG
rnacentral:rRNA from 1 species